CACGGUAAACGAUGGAUGCCCGCUGUCUGCGAUAUACUGUGAGCGGCCAAGAGAAAUCGUUAAGCAUCCCACCUGGGGAGUACGCCGGCAACGGUGAAACUCAAAGGAAUUGACGGGGGCCCGCACAAGCGGAGGAACAUGUGGUUUAAUUCGAUGAUACGCGAGGAACCUUACCCGGGCUUGAACUGCAGCAGACGGAUCUAGAGAUAGUGACUCCCUUCGGGGCUGCUGUGGAGGUGCUGCAUGGUUGUCGUCAGCUCGUGCCGUGAGGUGUCGGCUUAAGUGUCAUAACGAGCGCAACCCUUUUCAUUAGUUGCCAUCAGGUAAUGCUGGGCACUCUGGUGAUACUGCCACCGUAAGGUGUGAGGAAGGUGGGGAUGACGUCAAAUCAGCACGGCCCUUACGUCCGGGGCUACACACGUGUUACAAUGGGAGGUACAGAGAGUUGGUUGUACGCAAGUGCGAUCUAAUCCUUAAAGCCUUCCUCAGUUCGGAUUGGGGUCUGCAACCCGACC
rnacentral:rRNA from 1 species